GUUCAAAUAAUUGAACCAUCUUAUUCUCUAAAACAUGCUUCAAUUUCAUCUCAUUUUUAUAACCUCUUAAAUAUUUUGUGAUAUUCUUCCUUUCAAAUUAAUCAAUCUUAUCCACAACCAUUUGUAAUGCUUUUUUUUUUCCAUAUCCUCUUUGCCAUCUUUAACUUGUUGCUGUUGUAUGAAUAAGGCAAAUGCCUCAA
rnacentral:lncRNA from 1 species